rnacentral:rRNA from 1 species
GAGGGGCUCACGGCCUAUCAGCUUGUUGGCGGGGUAACGGCCCACCAAGGCUAUGACGGGUAUCUGGCGUGAGAGCGCGACCAGACACACCGGGACUGAGAUACGGCCCAGACUCCUACGGGAGGCAGCAGUGGGGAAUCUUGCGCAAUGCGCGAAAGCGUGACGCAGCAACGCCGCGUGAGGGAAGACGGCCUUCGGGUUGUAAACCUCUUUCAGGAGGGACGAAGGCUCACCGGUGAAUAGCCGUGUGGGUUGACGGUACCUCCAGAAGAAGCUCCGGCUAACUACGUGCCAGCAGCCGCGGUAAUACGUAGGGAGCAAGCGUUGUCCGGAAUCAUUGGGCGUAAAGCGCGCGUAGGCGGCCCUGUAAGUCCGCUGUGAAAGUCAGAGGCUCAACCUUUGAACGCCGGUGGAUACUGCAGGGCUAGAGUCCGGAAGAGGCGAGUGGAAUUCCUGGUGUAGCGGUGGAAUGCGCAGAUAUCAGGAGGAACACCGAUAGCGAAGGCAGCUCGCUGGGACGGUACUGACGCUAAGGCGCGAAAGCGUGGGGAGCGAACAGGAUUAGAUACCCUGGUAGUCCACGCCGUAAACGAUGGGCACUAGGUGU